rnacentral:rRNA from 1 species
CACUGCCGAGAAAAGCCUCUAGAUAGAAAAUAGGUGCCCGUACCGCAAACCGACACAGGUAGUCAAGAUGAGAAUUCUAAGGUGAGCGAGCGAACUCUCGUUAAGGAACUCGGCAAAAUGACCCCGUAACUUCGGGAGAAGGGGUGCUCUUUAGGGUUAACGCCCAGAAGAGCCGCAGUGAAUAGGCCCAAGCGACUGUUUAUCAAAAACACAGGUCUCUGCUAAACCGUAAGGUGAUGUAUAGGGGCUGACGCCUGCCCGGUGCUGGAAGGUUAAGAGGAGUGGUUAGCUUCUGCGAAGCUACGAAUCGAAGCCCCAGUAAACGGCGGCCGUAACUAUAACGGUCCUAAGGUAGCGAAAUUCCUUGUCGGGUAAGUUCCGACCCGCACGAAAGGCGUAACGAUUUGGGCACUGUCUCAACGAGAGACUCGGUGAAAUCAUAGUACCUGUGAAGAUGCAGGUUACCCGCGACAGGACGGAAAGACCCCGUGGAGCUUUACUGUAGCCUGAUAUUGAAAUUCGGCACAGCUUGUACAGGAUAGGUAGGAGCCUUUGAAACGUGAGCGCUAGCUUACGUGGAGGCGCUGGUGGGAUACUACCCUA